UACACAUGCCCAAGAGAGUCCAAAUAUUAAGGACGACUAUCGAAGCGUAUACAGCAUCGAAAUGGACAGAACGUUGCUCAACGUUCCAGCUCCAUGGACCCGCACUUUUACUCCAUCCGUUCUCUUAAGAAUUCCUCACCGAUCAGAUAGCCGGUUCUUGAAGCUUCCUGUCGUCGAGUCUCCUCCGCUAAUGAGGCUUCGCCCGGCGCUUCUAUGAUCGCUGCGCAACUGGUUGAAAACGCAUCACUCGCACAGCGCUUGCUGCCUCUGGAGAUUGUAAGUCAAUGCUCCGUCAUUACUGACUGGUGACAUUCCAAAGUUUUACGAAGCAAUCUCCUUUAAACUCCUAGCUUAGGCUAAUGUUCGAAGCAACCGAUUUAUUCGCCCAUUGUGAAACUUAUGCAGUCGCUUGAGACAAGUUAAAAAGGUUACUCGCGGUAGCACUGCAGUUUUAAUGAACUUAACUUUCAUGGCGGUCGGCGGAACUUCGGAGGGGCUAUCACAGUCCCUCAACACUUCUUUAUCCGCAGGUGGCUCAAAUAUCUGGUACAGUCGAUGAAGACGCUGUCGAGACACAUUACCAUGAAUGCGACUUUUGCUGUGGUCCUUUUGGUUCUCUCAUCGCGGGGGAGCACAUUUCGACACUCCGUGUGGCGCAAUGCGUGAACCUUCGUGACCCACGACCAAGUGUGACUCCAAGCAGUUGAAGACCAAGUUGAACGACCAAGUAUCCAGGUGUCCAGAAUCGGGACACCUGUGACAGGAGAAAAAAUCGCGUUUUUUCGCCGAAUUUAGAACAAAAAAAAGAAAAAGAAGAAAAAUCAUCGAAGACCAGAAACCCAAUGACUUAAUAUUCAUAUGUGUUUGUCUUGAAACAAUGAUUACUAUAUGAUGACUGUUGUACAGGGGCAGCCUUACUGACUUCGGGAGCACCUGAGCUCGUCGAUAUUGACGACGACUGGAAAAGUCUUAGGAAUGCCAGCAACUUCCCAGGUGUCUAGGAAGCCUUGCUGAAGACGCGCUGCAGUAGAG